GAUGAAGAACGUAGUGAAAUGCGAUAAGUAAUGUGAAUUGCAGAAUUCAGUGAAUCAUCGAAUCUUUGAACGCACAUUGCGCCCCUUGGUAUUCCGAGGGGCAUGCCUGUUCGAGCGUCAUUUCACCACUCAAGCCUCGCUUGGUAUUGGGCGCCGCGGUGUUCCGCGCGCCUCAAAGUCUCCGGCUGAGCUGUCCGUCUCUAAGCGUUGUGAUUUCAUUAAUCGCUUCGGAGCGCGGGCGGUCGCGGCCGUUAAAUCUUUCACAAGGUUGACCUCGGAUCAGGUAGGGAUACCCGCUGAACUUAAGCAUAUCAAUAAGCGGAGGA
rnacentral:misc_RNA from 1 species